rnacentral:lncRNA from 1 species
UGGUGAAUCCUUCGAUAAAGGCAAAGAAAUUGUACCCGAGGAUCGAUAGUCGGAGUACUAAAAAAAUUCGACUCUCAAAAUAGUGAGUAACCGUAUCAUCAUUUUAAUUAUCUAAAGUGGUUUUUUUAUUCGAUUUUGUGAAUUUUAUGGAGAAUGAGUUAAAUGGUAAAUCUUUGUGUUUUGUAGCUAAAAUGUGAUUUAAUGAAAUGAUAUUAUAACAUCGUCUUGAAAUUGAAUGGUGGUUUGAAAAUAGAGUAUUUGGAGACUAUUUUCAUGUGUUGUAAAUUCAUGGUUCUAAUUGAUUGGCUUAUGGUAAUAUUGGCAUGAAUGGCUGAAUUGGUAUUUGUGUUGAAAAUGUAUAAACUGCUGUUUGCCUUGAUAGGCUGGAUAAUGAUAAAAUUGCCAUGUCAUGCUGUUGAAUUUUUAUUGCAUGGUGGGUUUAGCUUGCUACAAUGGGAGGGUUCUAUGGAUCAGCCUAUUAGAGGGGCACAAAAUCCAGUUAUUUAUGUACCUCAGUCGAAGAGGAGCGUAGGGUAUCUCUUGAGGUAUGGUUAAAGUUCACGUCACGCCGAACCACCUCGUGAUGAUGAACUCCGCUAACGCCAAGGAACGGCUAUGUUUUUAAAAUAAAAACAUGAUUUAUGCGUACAUAACUUUUUAACAGCCUUGGCGAACUCGGUUAAAUGCCUCGAUCAAGGUAUUCCCGAGAAUGAUUUUGACAGGAGCCAAGCUUUUAAGAUACUCAUAGGCCAUGCUGAUUAUUUAAAUGAAAUGAAUAUUUAUGUUAUGAAUUACAUAUUGAGAUGGAAUAUUUUAAUCGUCUCCAUUUACUCGACUUUAGAGAUUUUGGAUGGUGUUUGUUUACCCACUGGGAUUAUAUAAUCUCACCACCCUUAUUUUCACCCAUUUUAG